UGGCGUACGUCUAAUUUACGAUAGUUUUCGUGUUAACUUCUAUAACAUUUUUUAUGGUUAAAAUCCUGUCCUUUUUUCCACAGAAAAAUGAAUACUUCAAAGUUGGUUAUCGUUUUUGCUCUGCUCGUCCUUAUGGCUGGAACCACAGUUGAAGCAAUUUGGCCACUUGUUAGUUUUGGUAUUAGAGCAGCUAUCGGCCGAAGAAGACGUUCAUGGGGGUGGAACAACAAAGAAAUAAAUUUCGAAGCAUCAGAUAACGAUGCUAUGGAAGCAGUCUUGAAGCAAAUCGAAGAAUAAAUUGAAAGAGAUAGAAAACUGAGACCUAUAAGCUGUCAUUAAGCCGUACAUUUAUAAAUUCCCAGAUGAUAACAAUCAAUAAAAAUGUACUAUAGUUGCGUAUUA